CAGCAGCCGCGGUAAUACGUAGGGUGCGAGCGUUAAUCGGAAUUACUGGGCGUAAAGCGUGCGCAGGCGGUUCGUUAAGACAGAUGUGAAAUCCCCGGGCUCAACCUGGGACCUGCAUUUGUGACUGUAUAGCUAGAGUACGGUAGAGGGGGAUGGAAUUCCGCGUGUAGCAGUGAAAUGCGUAGAUAUGCGGAGGAACACCGAUGGCGAAGGCGAUCCCCUGGACCUGUACUGACGCUCAUGCACGAAAGCGUGGGGAGCAAACAGGAUUAGAUACCCCAGUAGUCCCUGUCUCUUAUAC
rnacentral:rRNA from 1 species